GGAGAGAAAGUUAGAGAGGUGUGCCUGAGAAGGUUUGGACAUGUGCAGAGGAGGGAUCGUGGCUAUAUAAGGAUGUCAAAGAUGGAGCUGCUAGGCUGGGGGAAAAGAGGAAGACCACAGAGGAAACUGAGGUGAAAUUGCUCUUUUUUUUGUGCGCCUCGAAUCGACGCCCUUGUGGAUGACCCCAGGUGUCUAAUUCAGAAAUGCUUGCAGGGUGGUCAGGAGCCGCGCUGAGCCUUGGAUCACACAGUUUGUACCCGGCAGAUAACCCUGACGGUGACCCCGGGCCCUGCCUCAAACCUCUGUGCCUUCGUCCAUCCUUUUGGCCUCGUCCUUCCUCCAGAACAUCAUGCUCCCAAACACUUAACCCUCCGCUAGUUCCAUAUUUAAAGAGGGAGAAACUGCAGGAGUAAAAUUGUACUUAAUAAUACAAGUUAGAGGCAAAAAGGAAUAAAAUUCUGUAUUCAAGCCAGCAGAGAUGUAAGAUGAAGGCUUUGUGAUUCCUGCUUUCAGAUACGAAAAAUGGCAGAUGAAAGAUAAUGGUCACACAGAGAUAACUGCAGUAAUUGAAAUAAUAACCCACACAGUUUGUCUAUUUUUUUUUUUUUUUUAAGCGUGUUUCUUUUGAUACUGGUUUCAAGCACUUUUACAGAUGGUUUCUUGACAGGCUGCCAACUGAAUCAUUUAAUCUCUGUGAGCACAAGGAGAAGGCCGCCUCGCACAGCCAGUUCUGCUGUGAAGCUCCAGCCUUCAACUGAGGAAAGUUUGGGUUGAAGGUGGUUUCCCUGAAAGCUCCUUCAGCCCGCGCCUGUCUUUACAGGAAGAUUUGGAUUGUAUGUUAGCUCAAGGAGGCCACCUUGAGUAUGGCCCGAAACUUGUCAGUGACACAUAAAGACUAGAAGAACUGAACAGUGUUAACUGUGUUUUAUUUAGAUGUACUUAGCUGCUUAACCCUGUGAUUAUUUAACUGAUGCUUUUUGCAUCAGGAAUGAAAAAUUAUUUAUUGCAUUUGAAGUUAAAGAAAGAAGCUGCUUGAUGGGGGGAAAGAGGUGAAUCCCAUGGCCUUAACUGUAUGGAUGUGGAAGUCCACAGCAGCA